GUGGAUGACAGCCUCAGUGUAAGGCAUUUUGGUGCGGUCAUCAAGGUUUGGGAGUCGGUGUGAGCCAAUCACCUGAUCGAUCUCCUUUUGGACUUUCUCUGCACAGAAAAGAGGAACAGUGUGGAUCUGCUUUGAUGGACUUACCUUCUCCAUGCGUAGAAGGUAGGUAUCGAUGAAGUCCCUUGGAUUGCUGGGGUCCAAGGUUGCCCUGUGCUUCUCCACACUCUGGCCAAUGAAGUCAAGGAUUUCCUGCAGGUUUUUGGAGAUUUGUCUGUGGGUACCGGGAAAGUACUUCAGGAAGCCAGAGAAGAGCUCAAACAUCUGCAGGAAAGAAGGACUCACCCUGGGAUUUCCGGAGCUCCUCAACCAGGCAUUGGGCCUCCUCCUGAAUCCGCUCUUCCACACUCCGCUUGCCCAUCCCAAAGUCUCUCAUGGUGGCCAGAGAGAAUCGCCGAAGGGUCUUCCAGCGUUCCCCAUUGGCAAAGACCACACCUAAGAAAGCAGGGGGAGCAUGGGGGAGUUAUAGAGGAAGUUCAAAGAAACCUGGGUCCUUCCCCACCCCAUGUCCUCCCUUCCAUCAGAUUCUCCUCUCUCUGGACCCAUUCUCCAGCCCACCUCAACCCAAACUUUGAGACUCCUACCAUAGUCCUUGAAGACUGGUCUAACCACAGCAAUUGUCCCUCGGCCAGAGAAAGCCUCAGCUUGGUCCACCAGCGCCUCCCUUAUGGCCUCUGUGCCAUACAGCAUGACCACGGGCCUCGGUCCCAGGUGCAUUGUGAACACAUCUCCAUAUUUUUCUCGAAGCUGCCAAGCAUAAGGACACCAGGAUUGUUGUUAGUCAGUGCAGAUAUUGUUGGUACCCUGUGAAAACACUUAGACACAGAGUGAUACAGAGGAAGACCUCCCCUGGCCACCUUUCUGAGGACCUAGCAAUUUCAGGGUCAAUCCACCACCAUGGAAGUCUGCAUGGAUGCUGGAUGAUCUGAUCAGUACUGCAUUACAAUAUGGCUGUAGGUGUGGGACUCAUGCUUUAUCUCAGCACUGGGGAAAUAAAUGAGGUGGAUCAGAAGUUCAA